rnacentral:rRNA from 1 species
GUGGGGAAUUUUGGACAAUGGGCGCAAGCCUGAUCCAGCAAUGCCGCGUGCAGGAAGAAGGCCUUCGGGUUGUAAACUGCUUUUGUACGGAACGAAACGGUCCUGGCUAAUACCUGGGGCUAAUGACGGUACCGUAAGAAUAAGCACCGGCUAACUACGUGCCAGCAGCCGCGGUAAUACGUAGGGUGCGAGCGUUAAUCGGAAUUACUGGGCGUAAAGCGUGCGCAGGCGGUGCUGUAAGACAGGCGUGAAAUCCCCGGGCUCAACCUGGGAAUUGCGCUUGUGACUGCAGUGCUGGAGUACGGCAGAGGGGGAUGGAAUUCCGCGUGUAGCAGUGAAAUGCGUAGAUAUGCGGAGGAACACCGAUGGCGAAGGCAGUCCCCUGGGCCUGUACUGACGCUCAUGCACGAAAGCGUGGGGAGCAAACAGGAUUAGAAACCCGAGUAGUCC